GCGUUCACUAACCUUUUUUAACUUUUUUCAACCCCCUUCGUAAACGAGCAUGAUCUUGGCUUGGAUUCUAACUUUGAACUGUCUGCAUCUGCAAUUGAUCAAAUCACUGUCAUUAUGCAAUUAGCAAAAUAUAAGCACCCAUCUCAUGAUGUUAAAAAGCCUGGACCUGCUCCGUUGCCAUCAGAAAUCCCUGCACAGACACGAUCAUAUGUUGUUAUUGAGUCUAAUACUGCUCCACAGGGUACGAUUGUUGAUGUUACUAAUUCAGAACAUCUCGGGUUGAUGGUGUUGGUCAAGUGGAUGUUGGUGGCAAUAAUGUGAAUUUGCCUUCUGGAGGGAGACGUAAUGUAAAUCAAUCUGGAAAUGAACUGACAACUCGUGAUGUAAAUAAGUCUAAACCUGAUCAGUCAGUAUCAAAAACUGUUGUCCAGACACAAACAAAUGUUGAAACAACUCCUGCAGUUUUCACACGGAGAAGACGCCCUGCAGCUAUAAAACAGUCGCCGUAUAGGAAUGACUGGCAAUCUGGUGUUAGUGCAGUUGGGGGAUCCUCGAAGGUUAUCAAAGGAAGAUUUUCAUUUGUAAAUGACAUUUCAGUGGCUGUUGAUUAUAAGACGACUGCAUUCUCAAAUUUUGUUGAAGCAAACAUGCAAUUGGGAGAGGAAGUGUAUUUACCUGGUGAUCAAAAGCUGGAUACUUGUUUUGACUUUGAAGUUGAACAUAUUGUUGAUAAGACGUUUUUCCAUACAUUAAACUAUUCUGGCAGGCCGCUGUCUAGUUCGAGAUUGUGGAGUAUAUGUUGCAUGUUUUGCUGAGUACAUUAUUGAAGGUCUUCCAAUCCCUGUUGCCAAUUUUGAUGUGGAUGGUCUUCGAGCUAGGUUUGGUAUACUGUUGUGGCACUAUGGGAGGAACAAGCAGUUGCAUGGCAAAUCAAGUGAAUCUGAGGCUCCAGUAGCAAGAAAAAAAGACUCGUGGAAAGAAGCGCAAGAAGUAGUAUAGGUCUCUUUUUUUUUUUAGUUAAUCGUAGCAUGAAAACUUA